rnacentral:lncRNA from 1 species
AAGCAAUAGAUGGUUGGCAGAGAAGCUGAAACGACUCGACCUCUACCAGGGUAAUGAAAGCAAGUCGGGCCACUAUUCUGACUGAUCACUUGGCAGUGGGGUGGAGGGGUAUGGAGAUGGGAGAAUCCCUGGAUGAAGAUCGGAAGGAGCGUGGAGAUGUCCCGCCACUGGUGACGCGGGGGGAUUUCGGAGCAUAGUCCCCGCACUCUUUCACGACCCCCGACCCCUGAUCCCCGGAUUAGGACGGCAAGGGAGUGCGGCGAUCAAGGCUGGGAGACCGCGGAGAGAAGGCGCGCGGUACCUGCUUGUCCAGCGCGUCUCGGACGCCUCCCUGCCCGGCGCCGGCCCUGGGUGGCGCGGGCGUUCGUUCGCAGCUGCAGCCCUCCAGGAGGUACAUGCCCGCCGGGCGGCAGCUCUGCUCGCCCUCGAAGUAGAAGAGCACAUUCUGGUAGAGGGCGAACCACUUCUCGUGCCAGCGGCUCGCCUCGGCCGUCUUCUUACUCAGGAAGCCGCGCUUGGUGCCCUCCUUGCGCGCCAGAAAGGCCAGGUACAGGGCGUGCCCCUCGUUGUAGCGCACGCUCUUCUGCAUGGUGCGGGUGCGGAGGGCUCACGGGUGGCCGCCGGUCUCACCCCUGCCUCGCGGCCAUGGCCCAGCUGGCUCCCUCGAGGGCGCGACCGCUCAGGUCCCGGCCGGCGAAGGGCGCCCCCUUUCCCCACGCCGCGCGCAGGGCACCCCGCCCGCUUUCGGGAGGCCGCGGCGCGCGGUGGCAGGGGCGCGGGCUGGGGCCGAGGCACGCUCUCCGCCCUAACCACCACCCUCCCGGCCGAGCCCCCGGAGCCCCCCAAGCCCCCAACGCCCGCGUGGAGCGCGGCCCCGCGAGGGCGCCCGAGCCGGCCGCCGCUUCGCCCAAAGUUGCGGGAGCCGAGCCCCCGCGGCGGGCUGGGGCGGCAGCCGGGGAAGGACUGUCCUCGGGCAACGCGCUCCGGGAGACAGAAGGAGUUGGAGACUUGGAAUCCCCUUUGGUGCAGAAACUAUUCCUUCAUGAGAAGAAGUCCUUAAAUAGGCUCUUUAGACAGGAGGCCACAUGUUGAAGGCAGCAGGGUCACAAGAUGGAAGAACCAGGGUCCCAGUAUCAUCGCUCCCUGCUUCAAGCUGCCAGGGGCAGCCUAACCCACAUGGCAUUAUGACAUAAGAAACAAAGUAACUAUUGUUUUAUUAAAUCAAUGAGAUAUUGGGCUUCUUGUUAUAGCAACUAGUAUAAAUUGCCCUGACUGAUACAUUAUGGAUUUAGAGUGCACUGUACUACAACUGUUUGUUGUAUUUUCAAAAUUGUGGUAUAACUGACUUACAAUAAACUUCAUAUAUUUAAA